CUUGCUCCCUCCCUUGCUAUGCGACACAUCGGUUCCCCUUGCCUUUCACCAUGAAUUAAAGCUUCCUGAGGCCCUCACCAGAAGCCAAGCAGAUGCUUGCACCAUGACUUUUGUAUAACCUGCAGAACUGACAAAAACUGCCCUUUUCCGGAAGCCCUGCAAGCUGAAGCUGGACAACUUAAUCUAGACUUAAAGAGAACUCACCACCACAGCUUACGUAUGGACAACUUUUGUGCCUGUUGCUGUGAGCUGCUCAGACAUCACUGGAAACAUUCAAACUGCAAAAGAUGUGGACCCACCGGGACCAGCAACUCUUCCGUGGCUCCCACCCAGAAGCCAACUGAGUGCACCAGGACCAGCUUCCACACCCCGAUGGUUGCAUCCCCAACCAAUCAGCAGUACCAAUUCCCUAGUCCUCUGUCUGCCA
rnacentral:lncRNA from 1 species